AGAGUUUGAUCCUGGCUCAGAAUGAACGCUGGCGGCGUGCCUAACACAUGCAAGUCGAGCGAGAAAGCCACCUUCGGGUGGUGAGUAAAGCGGCGCACGGGUGAGUAACGCGUGGGUGAUCUACCCCUGGGACUGGGAUAACCUUGCGAAAGCGGGGCUAAUACCGGAUGAAUUAGCUAAUGAUUAAGGGGUCAGCCUAAGAAAGGGUGGCCUCUCGAAGAAGCUACCGCCUGGGGAUGAGCCUGCGUCCCAUUAGCUAGUUGGUGGGGUAAAGGCCUACCAAGGCGACGAUGGGUAGCCGGCCUGAGAGGGUCGACGGCCACACUGGCGACCGCGAAUUCACUAGCCCAGAUUCUCCUACGGGAGGCAGCAGUGGGGAAUAUUGGGCAAUGGGGGCAACCCUGACCCAGCGACGCCGCGUGAGGGAAGAAGGCCUUCGGGUCGUAAACCUCUGUCAGGAGGGAAGAAGGGCUGAUAGUCGAAUAGGCUAUUAGUUUGACGGUACCUCCAGAGGAAGCACCGGCUAACUCCGUGCCAGCAGCCGCGGUAAUACGGAGGGUGCGAGCGUUAUUCGGAAUCACUGGGCGUAAAGCGCGCGUAGGCGGCUUGGCAAGUCAGGUGUGAAAGUCCAGGGCUUAACCUUGGGAUAGCACUUGAGACUGCUGAGCUAGAGUUCGGUAGAGGGUAGCGGAAUUCCCGGUGUAGGGGUGAAAUCCGUAGAUAUCGGGAGGAACACCAGAGGCGAAGGCGGCUACCUGGGCCGAAACUGACGCUGAGGUGCGAAAGCGUGGGGAGCAAACAGGAUUAGAUACCCUGGUAGUCCACGCUGUAUACGAUGGACACUAGACGUUUGGCGGUUAGACCCGCUGGGUGUCGAAGCAAACGCGAUAAGUGUCCCGCCUGGGGAGUACGUCCGCAAGGAUGAAACUCAAAGAAAUUGACGGGGGCCCGCACAAGCGGUGGAGUAUGUGGUUUAAUUCGAUGCAACGCGAAGAACCUUACCUGGGCUUGACAUCCCGGGAAUCUGCCAGAGAUGGCGGAGUGCCCUUCGGGGAACCCGGAGACAGGUGCUGCAUGGCUGUCGUCAGCUCGUGCCGUGAGGUGUUGGGUUAAGUCCCGCAACGAGCGCAACCCUUGCCCUUAGUUGCCAUCGGGUAAAGCCGGGCACUCUAGGGGGACUGCCGAGGUCAACUCGGAGGAAGGUGGGGACGACGUCAAGUCAUCAUGGCCCUUACGCCCAGGGCUACACACGUACUACAAUGGUGGGUACAAAGGGUUGCGAGACCGCGAGGUGGAGCUAAUCCCAAAAAACCCAUCGUAGUUCGGAUUGCAGUCUGCAACUCGACUACAUGAAGGCGGAAUCGCUAGUAAUCCCGGACCAGCAUGCCGGGGUGAAUACGUUCCCGGGCCUUAUACACACCGCCCGUCACACCACGAAAGCUGGUUCUACCCGAAGUCAGUGAGCCAACCCCGUAAGGGGAGGCAGCUGCCGACGGUAGGGCUGGUGAUUGGGGUGAAGUCGUAACAAGGUAACCGUACCGGAAGGUGCGGCUGGAUCACCUCCUU
rnacentral:rRNA from 1 species